rnacentral:rRNA from 1 species
GAAGUUUGAUCGUGGCUCAGAUUGAACGCUGGCGGCAGGCCUAACACAUGCAAGUCGAGCGGUAACAGAACUAGCUUGCUAGUUGCUGACGAGCGGCGGACGGGUGCGUAACACGUAGGAAUCUGCCCGGUAGUGGGGGAUAGCCCGGAGAAAUCCGGAUUAAUACCGCAUACGCCCUAAGGGGGGAAAGAUGGCCUCUUCUUGAAAGCUAAUCACUAUCGGAUGAGCCUGCGUCGGAUUAGCUAGUUGGUGAGGUAAAGGCUCACCAAGGCGACGAUCCGUAGCUGGUCUGAGAGGAUGAUCAGCCACACUGGGACUGAGACACGGCCCAGACUCCUACGGGAGGCAGCAGUGGGGAAUAUUGCACAAUGGGCGCAAGCCUGAUGCAGCCAUGCCGCGUG